rnacentral:tRNA from 1 species
AAUUCAUGAGCUUGAAUAAGCAUAUAUUUUGAAAAUAUAAGAUGAAAUUAUUAGUUUUAUGAAUUU